AUGAUCGCUUUGGCAGCAUGUAUUCUAAAAUUGGACCGAUACAGAGAAGAUUAGCAUGGCCCCUGAACAAGGAUGACACACAAAUUUGUGAAGCAUUCCAUAUUUUU